rnacentral:rRNA from 1 species
AAUCAACGCUGGCGGCGUGCCUCAGACAUGCAAGUCGAACGCGAAAUCUCCCUUCGGGGAGAAAGUAGAGUGGCGCACGGGUGAGUAACACGUAGGUAAUCUACCUUUGGAUGGGGAAUAACACCGAGAAAUCGGUGCUAAUACCGCAUAAUGCAGCGGCACCUAAUGGUGACAGUUGUUAAAGCGGGGGAUCGCAAGACCUCGCGUCUAAAGAGGAGCCUGCGGCGGAUUAGCUAGUUGGUAAGGUAAUGGCUUACCAAGGCAACGAUCCGUAACCGGCCUGAGAGGGCGGUCGGUCACACUGACACUGACAUACGGGUCAGACUCCUACGGGAGGCAGCAGUCGGGAAUUUUGGGCAAUGGGCGAAAGCCUGACCCAGCAACGCCGCGUGAAGGAUGAAAUCCCUCGGGAUGUAAACUUCGCAAGAACGGGAAGAAUAAGCCGGUGCAAAUAUCACUGGCGAUGACGGUACCGUUGUAAGCUCCGGCUAACUCCGUGCCAGCAGCCG